UAGCUGACAGCCGCCGCAGCCCGUCCCUGCCUCCUCCGGCGGUAGUGCCGCCGUGCCGGGCAGCUCGCACGGACACGGACACGCACGGGAGGAGGAGGAGGAGGAGAAGGAGGAGGGAAGAGGAGGGACCGGAGCACUCCCAGCACCAUCACCGAUCCCCCCAUGCGAUACGGGCGGCAUCGCGCAGCCCCGCGCUCCCGCGGACAAGCACCUGCAGAGUGCACUUGCCACCUUCCCUGAGAUGUAGGUCUGCUGAAUGUGUGCUCCAGUGUGCAAACUCUGCUGGAGGACCUCCACUUUCUGCCACUAGCUUCUACUGCAUCCCAUUUUUCAUGUUCAUCUCUUUCCCUGCCUCAUCACCUCUUCUGCCUUGCUUCCUGGUAAGCCACAGCACAAAUUUCCUCAUUUGUCCUGAAGGACAUCCCAUAAGGUCCUAACCAAAACUGCUCUGGCAUACCUAAUAGAAUCACAGUAUCACUCAAGUUGGAAAAGACUUCAAAGAUCAUCGAGUCCAACCAUAACCUAACCAUACUACCCUAACUCUGACAACCCUCCGCUAAAUCAUGUCCCUGAGCACCACAUCCAAAUGGUUUUUAAACACAUCCAGGGAUGGUGACUAAACCACCUCCCUGGGGAGCCUCUUCCAGUGCUUUGGAACGUGCACAGGUUGGAAGAGAAGGAGCACUAUUUUAGAGACUGCCGUUUUUCAUUACUGUUUGCUCACUAAGGAAAUCUCCUCUGACAAAACCCUAGAUACAGAAAAUAUUCAUAUUCCCAAAUCAAAUGAUGUUCCACUGAAUGUAUUAACACAUCUCAAAGAGUGGUUUUGCAACAGCAAUGCUUUCUGGCAUAGCAUGUAUUCUGUACACAUAACUCACUACAGUGGUAUGUUGUAAAUGAAACUGUAAAAAUGUAAACAGCAAUAGAAUAUGAUUUUUAACUUAGGGCUCAGAGUGCUGUAGUGAAUUUCCAGACCUAGGGAUGCUUCGCUCUGUUAGCUAUUAUUAAGCUCUGAGCUGCAGAAAAUUGCUGUGGAAAGUUAAGGCUUUGCAGUCUGUAAUGCAGUUUAAAUGCUCUUAUGAAGCUGUAGUAUGUUUUUGCCAGCUUCUGGAUGAUUUCAGAGUGUACAUACGAACAGGUUAAUUAAGCAUGAGUCAUCUUAUUGAAUCUUGUCCAUCUGAAUGAAGGACUUAUAUAAUCUUUAAAAUGUGAUUUAGCAUACAAGAGCAGACUGUCAGAGAGCAGCAGUGCUCUGUGAGCAAGCAAACAAGCUCAUUCUUCAGGAAAUCAGGUAAGUAAUGAUGGAUUUGCUGACUCUCUGCUGCUUUCUUCAGGGUGAGCCUGCUCCUUUCAAAGCAGAACUGUUG
rnacentral:lncRNA from 1 species